GACGAACGCUGGCGGCGCGCCUAACACAUGCAAGUCGAACGAGAAUCAACGGAUUGAGGACUUCGUCCAAAUGAAGUUGAGGAAAGUUGGCGGACGGGUGAGUAACGCGUGAGGAACCUGCCUCGGAGUGGGGAAUAACAGCUGGAAACAGCUGCUAAUACCGCAUAAUGCAACGGAAUCGCAUGACUCUGUUGCCAAAGAUUUAUCGCUCUGAGAUGGCCUCGCGUCUGAUUAGCUAGUUGGCAGGGUAACGGCCUACCAAAGCGACGAUCCAUAGCCGGCCUGAGAGGGUGAACGGCCACAUUGGGACUGAGACACGGCCCAG
rnacentral:rRNA from 1 species